UGUCUGCAGUUCCACGCCAAUCAUGGAUUGGGCACCACACUGUGACCUGACUUCACCUUUGCCCAGAGUGCGAAAACACAAAUGACGCCAUCAGGGGCCUGCAAGCAUGGAUGCGAUAUCAGAGGUGAAAUAUACAUCGUCUGCAAUAGCCGUCUGAUACAUUUGUUUGAACGCUGCAGGACUUGUCAGGCUACAUGCAAUGUGCAGAAAGCAACAGAUAGAUGCCUUCUGCACCUCACACCCAUGUGUCCACUACAGCACGUAUGUAUGGUCAUGGGAAAGCCAGCCAUCACUAAAUAGAAAGGCAAAAUCCAUCUUGUUGGUUGACAUCUCUUGGCAUCUAGAAAUGAGAAUAGAACAAGUGAUGAAUUAGUCGCAUGUUUAAAUUACCAGAGGCAUUUUACCUACGACAAAAGAAAAAUAAGUAAAGCAGAUGUGGCCACAUCAAACUUCCUGACUGCCACCUUUGUUUUUGCAGUUUCUUUUUUUCUUUUACUAGAGGCCAACUUACAUGUGUGCUUGGCAGCGCACGAAAACUUGCGCCGGCAUGCCUUGCAUUUGCUGCACCUCGCAAGGAAUAUCGGUUUGCAUCUGGAAGAGACGUGUGCCAGGCCACUCCCGCUUAGCUCACUUUAGCCGUUCUGACAGGCAUUGUUUCGUACUUUGUAAUUGGCUGUGCUUUUGAAAUGCUGAAAUAUUGGCAAGCAAUAUUGUUUUAUUUUUAUAGUUGUUAGAUCAGUGCAAAACGUAAUGAAAGAAAGCACAUUCUUCCAUGACACAAAUCUGCCUUGCGGAGUGUUGAUUGCCCCACGCCGUAGUUACAUAGCCAGGCUAUAGCCAGGAAACACUAGACAGCCAAGCAUCGAUAACUCUCUGGAACAGAUAUUCGUGCUUGUGCCGCACAUGGACGUGUACAGUCUGUCCCGCACCAUCUUCGCAUGUGUAGGUGUGCCAGCGCGAGCUUUCACACACCAGCAAGCAUACAUAUAGUUUGGCCUUAAGGCAACUGCAACUGUUGGCACAACUUUCUUUUGCAGCUUUGCAUUCUUAUAUGGUGGGUGACGAGUAGGGGCUGACUUGUGAUGCGUCCUGUGUUAGGGCACUAAGGGUAUGAAAGCGUCACUUGUGCACAAGCAUGAAAUGUUUUACAGGAGCUUAGCUCUAAUGUAUAGCUGCGCACAAUUUCAGCAUGUCAGAAAUAUCAUAAUUAGCCUUGAUGUGCAGCCUAGGUGUGCCAUUAGCCUAGGUGGGCCAUUUGGAUUUGUGCAAAAGUGCCUUUUCUGUUACUGGUAGACAUUGCACUCUGCUACAGAGGUUGUGAUGUAUGUUCAAUUUUAUGUGCCUCCUUAUUUUGUACCCCACCACAUAUAUGUAGAUGUGAUCCUGUUCACAAGUUUAAACCCAAAAAGAAGCACUGCACCUAGCAUUGGUGCAAUCCACCAUUGGUGUGGCUGUUCCUAAGGUUCAGCUCUACUUAGUCAUUCAGGCUGCCCUGUUGUUUCCAUUCGCGCACAAGGUAAGAAAAUUUAACUAUCAAAAGGCAUUCAUAAACUAACAUUGACGUACUAGUUGUUCCAUAUUUGCAACAGAACAUAGCCUUGGAUGGAACAGAGGCACCUAACAAGUGAAGCCUCUGGAUGGCAGCCUCUCACUCUGGCAGAAGAUGGCAGAUGCGACUGACCAAGGUUCAGUGCCAAGUAUCUGAUGUGCACAUUAACGGACACUAACUGUGAUAUCACCUUGCAUACAAAGCUUGGGCAGAUGAUUGACAACCCAUGUGACGACAACAAAAUUUGCAAGAACGCCCACCAGGGAUGACGACAACAAAGCGCCGGCCAAUGGCAUUCAUGACAGCGAACCAAUUCCAUAGUGAACUGUUACAGAAGACGACCCCAGAGGCUCAUGUUUUUGACUGCUGGCAUGC